rnacentral:lncRNA from 13 species
GUUAACAGUAUCAUUUUGUUGAAAAGUAUAAAAGGAAAAGCUUUCUGUAAAUCAUCACCCUACUCUUCAAUGCUUGUAGGAAAAAUUCCUAGUUUAGAAUUUCUAGUCUCAACAUGAAAAUAUUACUAUUUUGUAAAUAUAAUACAUAUAUGAAUAAUAUGGGGGAUAAAUAAAGGAAAAUGAUUCAAUAAAUAAACAUGGUUAUUGAAAAGAGAGAAUGGUAACUGGAGAGAAUACUGUUGAGGAGAGAUCAUUUGGACAAUUGAGUUUGUUUUUUCAACCCUUUUAUAAUUGUUGAGUAUUGUAUUGUCUGUCUCUGUGGGUAGGUAAGAGAAGAAUGUGGCUGCGUGGCAAAGCAAACCCAUAUGAGGCCAGCAAGAGCUGGGUGCAAGACCUUCAACGGUGUCUGCUGUGACAGAGACAGGAGUAGUGACAGACCACCCUGAUAAAGGCGAAGUAGCCCAUGGCAGAAAGGCAGAAGUGGCUGCAUGGGGAGUCAUCUCCAGACUCAAUUUAUUAAGCUCUCCAAGAGAGGCAGAAAGAAUCCAUCACCAAAAACACCAGUGAAAAAUGUGAUGUUCAUAGUGAUUAUAUGAGAUGUUCCAUAUGAACGUUCUGGGUUGAAAUGCAUUGUUGAGUCAAUGCAGAAAAGAGAUCUCCAGGGACAUGAUUCACCGGAGAGCUAAAAAGCGCUGCCUAAGAAAGUGGGCUCGGCUCUUUAGGAAAACACUAUGCAGGUUUUGGAGUACAUGUGAAGAACAUGCAAGAUUGUUGCAUAGGUACACACGUGGCAGUGUGAUUUGCUGCCUUCCUCCCCAUUACCUGUAUCUGGCAUUUCUCCGCACGCUCUCUCUCCCCAACUCUCCACCCCCCGCUGUCCCUCCCCUCUCUUUUAACAUUCUUGAUUCCCCGCUCCCAAGCUUCACCAGACUCAAAAAGGAUCAGAAAUUGUGUAGCAGGCUGGGGGUGGAUUGGAGAAGUUCAAGGUGA